AAGAGGUAGGUCGAUGGAUUACCAGGUGGAAUUUCCUGUGCUAUCCUGUAACAGGAUCUGUGGGGACGCAAGACAGAGAGCACAAGCCGGGAAUAGAAAAGACCGGUGCAAGCGAGGUAGGAGUACAUCAGGCAAAUCCGGUGUGCAAUCCGAAGACGUGAUGCGGAUCGAAAAGAAGUAGAGAAGUGUGUGAGCUGGCUGCCAAGAAAAGCCGCUAUUGUUUACAGGAUACCCGUACCGUAAACCGACACAGGUGGAUGAGGAGAGAAUCCUAAGGCCGACGGGAGAAGCAUUGUUAAGGAACUCGGCAAAAUGACUCCGUAACUUCGGGAGAAGGAGUGCCAUGCGAAUGGCCGCAGAGAAUUGGCCCAAGCAACUGUUUAGCAAAAACACAGGUCUAUGCGAAACCGAAAGGUGAGGUAUAUGGGCUGACGCCUGCCCGGUGCUGGAAGGUUAAGGGGAGAGGUUAGCGCAAGCGAAGCUUUGAACUUAAGCCCCAGUAAACGGCGGCCGUAACUAUAACGGUCCUAAGGUAGCGAAAUUCCUUGUCGGGUAAGUUCCGACCCGCACGAAAGGCGUAAUGAUUUGGGCACUGUCUCAACAAUGCACCCGGUGAAAUUGAAAUACCAGUGAAGAUGCUGGUUACCUGCGCCAGGACGGAAAGACCCCAUGGAGCUUUACUCUAGCUUGAUACUGGGAUUCGAUAUUGCAUGUACAGGAUAGGUGGGAGACUAGGAAGUGGUGACGCCAGUUGCCAUGGAGUCAAUGUUGGGAUACCACCCUUGCAGUAUUGGGUUUCUAACCAGCAGCCGUGAUCCGGCUGGGGGACAAUGUCAGGUGGGGAGUUUGACUGGGGCGGUCGCCUCCGAAAGGGUAUCGGAGGCGCUCAAAGGUUCCCUCAGAAUGGUUGGAAACCAUUCGAAGAGUGCAAAGGCAGAAGGGAGCUUGACUGCGACACCGACGGGUGGAGCAGGUACGAAAGUAGGACUUAGUGAUCCGGUGGUAUAAAGUGGGAUUGCCAUCGCUCAACGGAUAAAAGCUACCCUGGGGAUAACAGGCUUAUCACUCCCAAGAGUUCACAUCGACGGAGUGGUUUGGCACCUCGAUGUCGGCUCAUCGCAUCCUGGGGCUGUAGUCGGUCCCAAGGGUUGGGCUGUUCGCCCAUUAAAGCGGUACGCGAGCUGGGUUCAGAACGUCGUGAGACAGUUCGGUCCCUAUCCGGCGUGGGCGUAGGAUAUUUGAGAGGAGCUGCCCUUAGUACGAGAGGACCGGGGUGGACUGGCCGCUGGUGUAUCUGUUGUAUUACCAAGUGCAUAGCAGAGUAGCCAAGCCGGGAAGGGAUAAACGCUGAAGGCAUCUAAGCGUGAAGCCCCCCUCAAGAUGAGAUAUCCCAUAACGUCAAGUUAGUAAGACCCCUUGAAGACGACGAGGUAGAUAGGGCAGAGGUGGAAGUGUGGUAACACAUGGAGCUGACUGUUACUAAUAGGUCGAGGGCAUAACCAA
rnacentral:rRNA from 1 species